ensembl:lincRNA
GCAGUAGCAACUUAAAGGAAAGAAAGAGCAAUGUCAGCUCACCCACACCUUUCUGACCAUGGCUUUUGAUUCUACUAUCAGAACCCAUCUCAAGAAGCAAAACACCUGUUACAUUUCCCAAGCCUUUCUGUUUUUGUCUCUCCCCUAAUAGACAUCACCAGCAAAGACCCUUCUGAGCAAAUGUGUACUGGAGACCUCCUGAGGAAUCCACUGGAGCCUGCGCAUCCCCUUUUCCUAGCAAGGCCAACUAGAAAACUUUCAACUGAGAACUAUCAUGAACAGGUCUUACUGCCUAUUAGAGCGAAAGAAGAGGAAAUCUUUGGCUAACUGAUCAGAGAAAACAACUGGAUUAAACAAGAUACUCUUCAUGAUUAUGGUUGCAAAAAUGCAACACAACUUUUAAAAAUCUUAGUACUAAUUUUUAAAAAUGGAUUUUAAUUUGGGGGAGACUCGAUAACAGAACCUGAAAAUCUGAUAAAUUGUAUGAACAUUUUAUUCAGAAAAAUAAACAUAUAUUACCAGAAAAUUUCAUAAAUGAUUCAAGAAGUCCACAGAAGUUCCAUGUUGUAAGUAAUUAGAAAACAAACAUUCUGAAUUGUUAAAAUAAAAUUUAGUGUUCAACAUCAUUAAUCCAG